rnacentral:rRNA from 1 species
UACGAAGGGGGCUAGCGUUGUUCGGAAUUACUGGGCGUAAAGCGCAUGCAGGCGGAUCGCUAAGUCAGGGGUGAAAGCCCGAGGCUCAACCUCGGAACUGCCUUUGAUACUGGCGAUCUUGAGUCCGGGAGAGGUGAGUGGAACUCCGAGUGUAGAGGUGAAAUUCGUAGAUAUUCGGAAGAACACCAGUGGCGAAGGCGGCUCACUGGCCCGAUAUUGACGCUGAGGAGCGAAAGCGUGGGGAGCGAACAGG